CUGAAGCAUGAAAUUACUGAAGUGGCAACUUUUGUCUCUGUUUUCUAUACUACCUAGUUUCUCAAAGCUGAACUAUCCGCUGCUGCUCCGAAUCAGGAUAUGAGAGCGCUUUGGCAAAUGAAUAGGUUUAAGGAGUACAAUUUGAUUGGGGCAGAAUCAGUCAUUAAAUCUAUCAAACGCCACACAUGGUUUCUGGACCCUUACCUUAUUGUACUAGCUCUAGCUGAUGAAAAAUG